GAGAAAAGGUCAUGGGAGCAGAAUGCAGCAGCUGCCAGCAAUAACCCACGGGUCUUAGAAACUCUCCUCAGGCCAUGGGUGCUGGGGGCUUUGGCUGGGCCUGCUAGGAUGAGGGAAAUUCACCCAAGAGGGUGAAAACCUACCAGUGACUGUUAUUUAUUCUUUGUGCUAAGAAUGUAUUCAAGUCUAUAAAUGUACUUAGUUUUUUAAAAAUCAGCAAAACAGCUUAAAAUCUGUUUGGACGAAUUGGGGCCCAAAGGUAACCUCUGGCGUGUAUUUUCAGAGCAGUUUUCCACUUCAUCGUGACAGACAUUUGAGUUUCUGGGAAAAUAUAAUCCAUAUGUUUCUGGGCCAUUUAUCCUGGAAACCUUGGGAAGACUUGCUUUGUCAGCACCGAGGGAGGGAGAAGAAAUGCAGGAGAUCUCACCACCCGUCCUUUCUCGCCCAACCUCUGCCCAAAAAUCCCUUCAAGACAAGAUCAAGUGAGAGACGUGACACAUAAAGAUGGGAAAAAGAUGGCACUUCCCCAGAAACUGCAAGCUGGACUUUCCUGAGAACUGUUUUUAGAAGGAAACUCUAGCCUCUGCAAGCAAUUUGGGAUUUGUAGAGGGCAGAUUUGAGAGCAGGAUGUUGGAUUUGUGUGCCCAGCUCCAAGAUUCACUGUGAUUUUGGGUAAGCAACUACAUCUCUCUAGGCCUGGUUCUCCUCAAUGACAUGGUAGAAUAAUUCUGUGUCAGCAAAGCAUUGCAAAACUAAGUGAUAACAAAAGUAUAGAGCAGAAAUGCUAGCUACAGAGACAAGAUUCAUGGGCAUGCCUUUGCUUGAGUUGACUCCAUGGCAAAGCCCCUUAAUAAGAAAUUCCUAGGGAGUUUGCCUGUUUCCCUGAAAAAUCUAAAAUGCAGGAAGAUUUUGUUUUAACAUUGGUUUGGCAGACUAGGCAAACACUUGAUCUAUACACUUUCUAAUAUGAGCACUAGAUUUAUUUUCACAAGCAUUUUAUACAUAAGUAUAGCAAAGUUGUUUGUGGAAGAAACAAUUUAAAAUACAAUCUAAAUGACUGAAAAUUGGAGAUUGAGGAUGGAGAGUUCUAUUCUGGCUGUGGAGAGAAAUAAAGAGCCAAUAGGGGAUAUUGUAUCAGCUUUCUGAGGAGCUGGAUUAAAAAUGACUCAGAGGUUUAUCCCGUCCUCCCUGAACUAAGGUAGGCAAGAAUCCAACUAAACCAAUCAAAGAGUGACAGGGAAGAAGAGG
rnacentral:lncRNA from 1 species